AGCUGUGCAGCUUGUCAGAGACCAGCUGUGUUUUGCUGGGCUCAGCUCUGAAGUCCAACCGACCCGUGUGACAGAACUGGACCUGAGCAGGAAUAACCUGAAGUACGAAGAAGUUCAGCCACUCAAGGAUCUGGAGAAAAGUGCAAACUACCAUCUGGAGACUCUAAGGUGGAACUGGGAAUAAUGUCUGGAAACGAGGGAAGCAUUUUGUGCUGCUGUGGCCUCAUAAAGAGACUGUGUGGAUCAAACCGAUGAGUUGGAAGAUUUUUGUUUGAUUUUAGACGCCUGUCGUUUACUGUCUGAUAUUUUUGUCUCUUGAUCAAUAGAUGAAAUUCAAAUUCAGCUCCAUUAACGACUCACUGAUCUGAUCCUGGUUCAUUUGGAAAGUUGAUCUUUUUUCUCAUGGAUUUUUAGUUUGUAAUAAUGUCAUAUAAAAUAAAGUUCACUUCAAAAGUU